GAAAAUGGACUUGCUUGGAUCACCUCUCUAAACCACACUGCUCACACCGGCACAUAACUAAUCUACAAAGUUUAAGAAGGGAGUGGGUAAGCUUAACAAGCUUAGUGAAUGCUCAGAGUAACCACAAUGUACACACAAUAUCAAAGGUCAAUCAAGAGCAUACUACAACACAUUCACAAGCAUAUUUCAUUCAAGUUAGAAUUACAUGUUUGUGCUUCAUUAAUUCAUUUAACAAUAAUUCGUCAAG
rnacentral:lncRNA from 1 species